CACAUCUACUUAGUAGUAGAGUCAGGGUCUGAACCCAGGUCCUCUCAUUCAGAAUUCCAUGUUUUUUCCACUAUAGCCUGCUGCUAUUAUUGGUGCUGCCAAUUUUGCCAGUUCAGGAGGAACUAGUGCCUUGAUGUUUCAGAUCUCUCUCAAGGAUACAAUUGUGGAUGGACUGCUAUUCCCUGUGAAGAAGAUAGCAAUACCAAAAAUGAUAGAAACAGAUGUCCAGAAAGAUGUUGUCCAGAAACUCCAACCAUUAGAAGAAAAACUUGUUGAGGGGAGGGACUGGUUCUUGCCUUAAUCUGUAUUCCCACUGCUACAAAUGCUUGCUGACUGAUAGGAUUUAUACCAUUUAAAAAUUCUCCAAUGUAGAAAGCAACAUUAUAAUGAUAAUCAACUGUGGAAGACUCAGCAACACUAACCAAUACAACAAUCCAUGAGAGGUCUAAAGAACUCAUAAUGAAAUAAACUCUCCACCACGUGGCA
rnacentral:lncRNA from 1 species